GGCUUCUAAUGAACCUCUUCAGGCUGCAGAGAGACAAGAUGACAGGCAACAGGGAGAACCAGAGGAGCAGGAUGAGCUUCAGUAUGCCAGUGUACAGUUCUCUCCAAACCAGGCAGAUCUAUACUCCAACAUCAGACCAGCUCAGCCAAUCAGACACACAGACAGACAGGAGGUCUCUGAAUAUGCUGCUGUCAGGUUUACUGGUAAUGCCCCAAGAACCAGGAGACCAGAAGAGGAUACUGCUGCACUGUAUAGCACAGUCAACAAACACUGAUAACAGCAGGCUCUUUAUUCAUUUUUCUAAAUAUCUCAUGUUGAUUUGUGUUUACACAUGCAUCACAUGUUAUUUUAAUUGUUGGUUAUUCCAAUAAUAUACCACUGUGACUAUGAAAAUCAUAGUUACAAGACAACAUCUUUAUUUUACACACAGAAUUUUCUUUUUAAAUCUCAGCGUUUGUCCUCUCUGCAUAACCUGUGCUGUAUUUAUCCAAAUGUUAAUGUCUAUCCAGGAUUAGCUAGAGUGAU